CCAUUUUAGUAAACAUAUCGCCAUAUGCCAAGUUGCCACCUUAGAAGUCUAGUAGUCAUUCUCAGAACCUGUCUCUUCUAACUUGCCAUAUAUAAGCUGCUAAAUAUCUCUCAAGUCUGAAUCCACUACCAUAGCCAUCAUUAUCAAGAUGUCUGCAAUGACAUCCUAACUAGUCUUCAGGAUAGAUGACUCUUCCUCUCCAAUUCAUUCUGUAAAAAUGCAGAUCUGG
rnacentral:lncRNA from 1 species